CGGCGGAAGGGCGAGUAAUGCGUGAGCAAGCUGCCCUGGGGAUCGGGACAACCGCGGGAAACUGCGGCUAAUACCGGAUGUGGCGGGAGGCCGAUGGGUCUCCCUGCGAAAGGCGGGGCCGCAAGGCCUGUCACCCCAGGAGGCGCUCAUGUACCAUCAGCUAGUUGGCGAGGUAACGGCUCACCAAGGCUUACGGUUAGGUGGACUGAGAGGUUGGUCACCCGCACUGGGACUGAGACACUGCCCAGACUCCUACGGGAGGCUGCAGUCGAGGAUCAUUUGCAAUGGGGGAAACCCUGACAAUGCGACGCCGCGUGGAGGAUGAAGUCCUUCGGGAUGUAAACUCCUGUCAUGGAAGAAAAGACGGCAUACCCUAAUACGGUAUGCCACGGAUGGUAUUCCAAGAGGAAGGGGUGGCUAACUCUGUGCCAGCAGCCGCGGUAAUACAGAGACCCCAAGCGUUGUUCGGAUUUACUGGGCGUAAAGGGCGCGUAGGCGGCCUUGCGUGUCGCGUGUGAAAUCCCGGGGCUCACCCCCGGAAGUGCACGCGAAACUGCAGGGCUCGGGUCUGGGAAGGGAUGUCGGAAUGCAUGGUGUAGCGGUAAAAUGCGUUGAUAUCAUGCGGAACACCGGAGGUGAAGACGGACAUCUGGAACAGUACCGACGCUGAGGCGCGAAAGCGUGGGGAGCAAACAGGAUUAGAUACCCUGGUAGUCCACGCCGUAAACGGUGCAUGCUUGGCGUGGGACGGCUAGACCCGUCCCGUGCCGGAGCGAACGCGUUAAGCAUGCCGCCUGGGGAGUACGGCCGCAAGGCUAAAACUCAAAGAAAUUGACGGGGGCCCGCACAAGCGGAGGAGCAUGUGGCUCAAUUCGAUGCUACGCGAAGAACCUUACCCAGACUUGACAUGCAGAUGCACGGCCCGCGAAAGCGGGCCUCCUUCGAGGGUUCUGCACAGGUGCUGCAUGGCUGUCGUCAGUUCGUGCCGUGAGGUGUCCGGUUAAGUCCGGUAACGAACGCAACCCCUGUGUCCAGUUGCCAUCGGGUAACGCCGGGAACUCUGGACAGACUGCCCGUUUACGCGGGAGGAAGGUGGGGAUGACGUCAAGUCAGUAUGGCCCUUACGUCUGGGGCUGCACACGUGCUACAAUGGCCGGUACAGAGGGACGCCAAGCCGCGAGGCGGAGCGACCCCCAAAACCGGCCCCAGUUCGGAUUGCAGGCUGCAACUCGCCUGCAUGAAGUUGGAUUCGCUAGUAACGGCGUAUCAGCUACGACGCCGUGAAUACGUUCCCGGGCCUUGUACACACCGCCCGUCACAUCAUGAAAGCCGUCUGCACCCGACGCCGGCGCACCAACCCGCAAGGGAGGGAGCCGUCCAAGGUGUGGGUGGUGAUUGGGAUG
rnacentral:rRNA from 1 species